UGGGGAAUUUUGGACAAUGGGCGCAAGCCUGAUCCAGCCAUGCCGCGUGCGGGAAGAAGGCCUUCGGGUUGUAAACCGCUUUUGUCAGGGAAGAAAUCUUCUGAGUUAAUACCUCGGGAGGAUGACGGUACCUGAAGAAUAAGCACCGGCUAACUACGUGCCAGCAGCCGCGGUAAUACGUAGGGUGCAAGCGUUAAUCGGAAUUACUGGGCGUAAAGCGUGCGCAGGCGGUUUUGUAAGACAGAGGUGAAAUCCCCGGGCUCAACCUGGGAACUGCCUUUGUGACUGCAAGGCUUGAGUGCGGCAGAGGGGGGAUGGAAUUCCGCGUGUAGCAGUGAAAUGCGUAGAUAUGCGGAGGAACACCGAUGGCGAAGGCAAUCCCCUGGGCCUGCACUGACGCUCAUGCACGAAAGCGUGGGGAGCAAACAGGAUUAGAUAGCCCUGGUAGUCCACGCCCUAAAACGAUGUCAACUGGUUGUUGGGAAGGUUCCUUCUCAGUAACGUAGCUAACGCGUGAAGUUGACCGCCUGGGGAGUACGGCCGC
rnacentral:rRNA from 1 species